UCUCUAGGGUUUUUGGAGAAUGGCCGAUGCCGCAGCGAUGGCGCCAGUGAUCGGGGAGGAAGAUCAAUCGCCUGGCGGUGCUGGGACGAGCGGCAUUCCAACCUGGGGGAGCUCCAGGAGCAAAUUUGGAGCUCUGCCUUGGACAGAUUACUUCGACGAGGAACUAGAUGUUGAAAUCGGUCAAGAUAGUUUUCACGUCUACUUGGCGGGCACACAAGGACCGGUUCUUUUUUGUUUGCACGGAGGCGGAUCCUCCGGGCUAUCUUUUGCGCUAUCCGCAAGAAUGUUAAAAGAGAAAGUCAAGGUUGCUGCGAUGGAUAUGCGAGGUCAUGGCUCGACACGCACAAGUGAUGACUUAGAUUUAUCUGCCGAGACUUUAUGCCAAGAUGUUCUCGACGUUAUCAGGACCAUGUACAAAAACGAUCCACCAUCUAUUGUGUUAAUCGGACACAGCAUGGGGGGUGCGAUUGCUACUCGGGUUGCUGCAAAAAGAGUUCUUCGAACGCUGGCCGGGCUUAUUGUCGUCGAUGUCGUAGAGGGUACAGCUAUAGCUUCUUUGAUACAUAUGCAAAAGCUAUUGUCCAACCGUCCGCCAGCAUUUCCCAGUGUUGAAAAAGCUAUAGAAUGGAAUGUGAAAGGAGGUUCGCUUAGGAACAUCGACUCAGCUCGAGUCUCGAUCCCCCCAACAUUGAAAUACAAUGAAGAAAGAAAAUGUUACGUGUGGCUUACACCGUUGGAAAAGAGUGAACGACAUUGGAGAGGCUGGUAUUUGCAUUUUUGCACAAACACUGUUUUCAUUUUUGAGGAGAUUAUUUUACUUUGCAGGUAUGAAGGUUUGUCGGAUAUUUUUCUGUCGGCACCAGUUGCAAAAGUUCUCUUGCUGGCUGGAACAGACCGUUUGGAUAAAUCCCUUACCAUUGGACAAAUGCAAGGCAAGUUUCAAAUGAUUGUAGUCCGUCACACUGGUCACGCGAUACAGGAAGACGUGCCCGAAGAAUUUUCGUCUCUUGUACUUACAUUUGUUGCUCGAAACCGCAUCGGUGCGCACGGUAUUGAUAUCCCUGGUCUCAUUAGACAGAGGCGAAGCGCAUAAGAAAAUAGAGAAAAGCAUAGAAACUGACACGGGUAUGUGUAGCAAAAAAAGAGAGAACUCCAUUUCACGAAUUCUCAUUCUACUGACCACUCGGAUAAGUUUCAGGAAGCACGUGAAGGUCAGGCGUCGCGCCAAGGGGCCUCAACGCCUUGGUCUCGUGAAUAUAGAUGAAAGCAUCGUACCUCUUUGCCAACAUUGUUGAAUCGUCAAGCAGGAGGUAGAAAGCGUCGCCGGGAAUUUUCUCCUGCUGAGCCGCCUCGUGGAUUAUCAUCUCGUAGCUGCCAUCUCGGCCCUCCGGAACACGAAGUUGCAGGAUGGGACCAGCCCACUUGGACGAAGCAAUGACCGAGCCUUUAAAGGCCGCCGAUGUUCACCUGGAAGUCGGAAGCUGAAAGGUGACGA